rnacentral:rRNA from 1 species
GAUGAACGCUGGCGGCGUGCCUAAUACAUGCAAGUCGAGCGAACGGACGAGAAGCUUGCUUCUCUGAUGUUAGCGGCGGACGGGUGAGUAACACGUGGAUAACCUACCUAUAAGACUGGGAUAACUUCGGGAAACCGGAGCUAAUACCGGAUAAUAUUUUGAACCGCAUGGUUCAAAAGUGAAAGACGGUCUUGCUGUCACUUAUAGAUGGAUCCGCGCUGCAUUAGCUAGUUGGUAAGGUAACGGCUUACCAAGGCAACGAUGCAUAGCCGACCUGAGAGGGGGGCGGCCCACAUGGAAACGGAGCACCGUCCAGGCCCCCAGGGGAGGGGAGAGGUGGGAAUGUUUCCGAAUGGGCGAAAGCCUGGAGGGAGAACCCCGGGGGGAUUAAUAAAGUUCUUGGAAUCUAAAACCUUUUUUAUGGGGAAAAACAAUAGGUGAAAGUACCUUUCCACUUCUGGCGGGUACCUAAUAAGAAACCCGCGGCAAACUACGUC